CUUGGUCAUUUAGAGGAAGUAAAAGUCGUAACAAGGUUUCCGUAGGUGAACCUGCGGAAGGAUCAUUAAAGAGUAAGGGUGCUCAGCGCCCGACCUCCAACCCUUUGUUGUUAAAACUACCUUGUUGCUUUGGCGGGACCGCUCGGUCUCGAGCCGCUGGGGAUUCGUCCCAGGCGAGCGCCCGCCAGAGUUAAACCAAACUCUUGUUAUUUAACCGGUCGUCUGAGUUAAGAUUUUGAAUAAAUCAAAACUUUCAACAACGGAUCUCUUGGUUCUCGCAUCGAUGAAGAACGCAGCGAAAUGCGAUAAGUAAUGUGAAUUGCAGAAUUCAGUGAAUCAUCGGAUCUUUGAACGCACAUUGCGCCCCUUGGUAUUCCGAGGGGCAUGCCUGUUCGAGCGUCAUUACACCACUCAAGCUAUGCUUGGUAUUGGGUGCCGUCCUUAGUUGGGCGCGCCUUAAAGACCUCGGCGAGGCCUCACCGGCUUUAGGCGUAGUAGAAUUUAUUCGAACGUCUGUCAAAGGAGAGGACUUCUGCCGACUGAAACCUUUAUUUUUCUAGGUUGACCUCGGAUCAGGUAGGGAUACCCGCUGAACUUAAGCAUAUCAAUAAGCGGAGGA
rnacentral:rRNA from 1 species